GCUAACCACGGUAGGGUCAGCGACUGGGGUGAAGUCGUAACAAGGUAGCCGUAGGGGAACCUGCGGCUGGAUCACCUCCUUU
rnacentral:rRNA from 1 species